GCCUCGGCGAGAUUUCCAAGCUGAGGAAGACGGUGGCUAGGGCUCGGUUUCGCAAUUUAGACGCAAAAGAACGACGCAGGGCGUCGCGGGGUACUUUAUAGGGUUUCGAUUCGCGAUAAGGGCAAGGAAAUCCCGAGAUUUCGGGAUGGAUUCGGUGGGAGGUUUCCUGCUCGGUUACGAACAGGGAGGAGGAAGGGGGAGACGGCGCUGUUCCGCGGGCCCCACCCGUCAUUGGAAGAAGGACAGGGUCCCGGCUGUCAGCGAGUGGAAGGAGAAGAGGGCGCGCCCGGUCCUGGGCUGUGCGCUCCUGAUGGGCCGCAGAGCGGCCUGCGCGGGGGGUUCAGCUGGGCUGCGGCCUGGUUAUUCCAGGGAGGUUUUCCUUUUUUUUUUCUUUUCUGGUUUCUUUUCCAAAACAUUUUCCAAAUAGAAAUCUUGAAUGCAGAUAAAAUCAAACAAAAGGCAGCAACACAAAAUUAAAUAUGCACCA
rnacentral:lncRNA from 1 species